GUUAGUGUAAUUCUCAAACCGUCCGCUAGGUGGCAGCGCAGCGCACAUUAGAAUAGAGGCGCACCAGAGGAAGAAUAAAUCCUCUUGAUGAAAUGCUACAAGCAUAUCAAAACGUGUGCUGCCCUUCUGUUCCAACUAACAGACACACUGCUGAGGCCAGCCCUAGGAUGAAGUCGUAAAAUGGGCGGCACCCACAAGGAGCGAAAGGCGGAGCCUCAGAGAUCGAGGCGUCUUACCUCCAGGUAAAAAGCCGAGCGGCGGCUCUCCAGGUGAAUCAUCAGUGAAGAAAAGGCGAGCAGAGACACGCUGCUGGCAGAGAUGAAUUACAGCUGUGGAGAAAGCACUCAGAUACAAGCAGGUGACAUUUCUCCUUCUGCUUCUCUCUUCCCACUCUCCUAUUUUCUCUUCUCCAAAAGGGGAACAGAGGGUAAAAAGAGCCGCAUUGUGCAAAAUGGGACAAAGUAUGAAACAUAUUCAAAGAAAAUAUGAAAUCCCCAACUUCAGAAAGCCAUUUAAAUCAUCCAUCUGAGUGGCGUAAGGGAAAAUAAUAUACUUGACCCCUUUGUCUGCACACUUUGAGAAGUUUGUUAUAAAGGCAAGCCCUGUAAUAAUUCACUGUACCUCAUGUAUAUUAAGUAGAAAUUCACUGGCUUUUAUGAUAAAUUGCUAGGGUAACGCCAGGACACCUCUUUUGCAUUUCAAUGCGAGAAAGUGUCAGAUUCUUAUUUCAUUACCAGCCGACACAUUAGCUGAUGGAUUUUAAUUUUCUUUUCUCCCCUCCCUCCUGCAAGCAAGAAUCCACCGAGACCCGGCGGAAACAGAAAAGGUUUGAAUAUAAGGGAAGGUGGGGAAUGAAAUAAAUAAAUACAAAUGAGUGUCAAGAACCUUUAUUGCAUUUUUGAGGCCAUCACCAGAUAGAAGAAGAAAGAAAGUCAUUUUGUGUUGGGCUGCAUACCUUUGCGGAUUGGCCGUCCAAAGUGCGAAACGAAGUGGAGCUCUCCUGCUGACUGGACGGAAUAUCGGGGUUUAAUUCAUCCAGUGAUAAAAAUCUGGAUACGGUUGAAUCUGAGACAUGCUGAGCAGCAGCAAAUGCUGGAGCGGGCAUGAGAGCGCAGCCUUUUCAGGCGUCACGCAGCAGGGUGCACGGCCAUCGCUCACACAUUCCCCGCCUUCAGUCUGAAGGUUGAAAGCCAGCUGAGAGCCAAACACGUGGCAAAAGCAACGAGGGACUUACAGGGCAUUCCUUUUAAUCUGUGUGAGUUUUAGAUGCUAUGGAAACUUGUGACACUU